ACUACGGGUGGCAGCAGUGGGGAAUAUUGGGCAAUGGGCGCAAGCCUGACCCAGCAACGCCGCGUGAGGGAAGAAGGCUUUCGGGUUGUAAACUUCUUUUAAGGGGGAAGAGCAGAAGACGGUACCCCUUGAAUAGGCAACGGCUAACAACGUGCCAGCGGCCGCGGUAAUACGGAGGUGGCUAGCGUUGUCCGGAUUUCCUGGGUGUAAAGGGCGUGCAGCCGGGAAGACAGGUCAGAUGUGCAAUCGACGGGCUCAAAACGUUAGCUGCUUUUGAAACAGGUUACCUUGAGUGUCGGGGAGGUAAUCGGAAGUCGUGGUGUAGCGGUGAAAUGCGUAGAUAUAAUGAAGAACGCCAGUGGCGAAGGCGGAUUACUGGACGAUAACUGACGGUGAAGCGCGAAAGCGUGGGGAGCGAACAGGAUUAGAUACCCGAGUAGUC
rnacentral:rRNA from 1 species